rnacentral:rRNA from 1 species
AGUGAACGCUGGCGAUAGGCCUAACACAUGCAAGUCGAACGGCAGCACAGUAAGAGCUUGCUCUUACGGGUGGCGAGUGGCGGACGGGUGAGGAAUACAUCGGAAUCUACUUUUUCGUGGGGGAUAACGUAGGGAAACUUACGCUAAUACCGCAUACGACCUACGGGUGAAAGCAGGGGAUCUUCGGACCUUGCGCGAUUGAAUGAGCCGAUGUCGGAUUAGCUAGUUGGCGGGGUAAAGGCCCACCAAGGCGACGAUCCGUAGCUGGUCUGAGAGGAUGAUCAGCCACACUGGAACUGAGACACGGUCCAGACUCCUACGGGAGGCAGCAGUGGGGAAUAUUGGACAAAGGGCGCAAGCCUGAUCCAGCCGUACCGCGUGGGUGAAGAAGGCCUUCGGGUUGUAAAGCCCUUUUGUUGGGAAAGAAAAGCAGCAGGUUAAUACCCCGCUGUUCUGACGGUACCCAAAGAAUAAGCACCGGCUAACUUCGUG